AAUGAGUCUGGGAAAGGAAUCUACUUCCAUUUCUACUGCUUCUAGGGCUGAAAUGAAAAUAUGACUAGAAAAUUUAAUGUAAAGACAGAAGCUGUCUGUACAGACAGAAGAAUUCUGUGUGUUUUUGUGAAGUUUGAUAGUGGAGAGAAGCUCUCAUGUGAGAGAGGAGUCCUUACAGUAAUUACAGUGGGAAGUUCCUGUUCACACAAAGGAAGUAAGGACUAGAUUCCCAGCAAAUUAAAUCAGAGUAAAUCAGCAUGAAAUGCCAGAGCACUGUGACAAAUCUUUCCCCAAACUACACAAUCGUCUCAUUUCUCAAGCUCCUUCAGCUUCAUGGUAUUCCUUGGUAGGAAGAGCCACUGCAGACCGAAUAAAAGAAUGGAUUUUCCUUGUGAUUUUACAUUUAUCUCUUUUGAAGAGUACCUCAGGGUCUACUCAUGUGUGAAAUUACAUGAGCAAGACACAGAGAAGAGACUCAGGAAGUUUCUGCCCCAUUUAAAAAAUAAAAAUAAAAAAAAAAAAAAAAAAGAAGAAAAAAGAAAGUGGUUUAAUAUGCAUUAACAGAGAGAGAAGAGCCUGCAGAAGUUCUGUUCCUGUGAAAUACUGGACCAUGUGUCCUAGCCAGACAUUCUGGCUGCUAAGUUAUAUCUUCCCUUGCAUAACUGUUCAGGUCCAGGGUCUGAAGUGCUUCUGAUUAUGCUUCUCUCUCUUUAUCAAGGAAUAGUUUUGAAAAUAAAUGGUAGCUGUAUUAUUUCUGUAUAGAAGGUCUUAGUUUAUGUGCAGCUAUGCCAAAGCAUAUCAUGUUCAGGGCACUUAAUUUUUCUUGACCUAUAAAAAGUAGUGACAUGAAACCUGUUAGGAGGUAGAGAAGAGAUAACCCAGCUUUCAUUUUGUGGCAAUAUCUAAGAGGUGUUUUGCAUGUAUAGUUUUAUUUUGAUGACUGGAGUCCCCUGCUAUGGAACCUGAAAUGAGCAGAAAAGUAUGGAGUUUUUUUGUAAGGGAGCUUUUGACAGCGUGUAUUCAAGAAAUGCAGCCAGACUCAUCUCUGGAAGAGGAAUGAGGCUGCUGAUAAAGCCCAGUAGGUAUCCGCCAAUAUGGUUAAGAAAGACAGAGUACUUUAGGUCCUUUGUCAGAUCUUCCUUAAAAUACAGAGGGAAGAUCUUUAAAACAGAAGAAAAGAGGGCAUGGGGAACAAAAGCACAUUCUAAAAACACAUUCUAAUAAAUUCGCUUGUUCUCUGUUGUGUUCAUGUGAGUGAAACAGAUCAGGAAUUGCUAUUGUUCUGGUAAAAAUCUGUGACUUUUGUGUUGUGCAAGAAUCAUGUUAGUCAGGAUGAACCCUACAGGGGACUAUAUGUGAGACUAGUGUUCAUGAAUAACAUUUGCUUGCUCAAAAGAUUAGGUGGAAGUGGCUUUGGGACUUCAAUUUGGAUUCCUUAAUGGAUUCAUUGCCAACUGAAUAAACAAGAAAAAUUAGGACCUUAAGCUGGUUUUCUCUAGGAGUUUCUGUUUAUUUUUUCUCGGCUUCUUCAUUUUGUGGGUCUGGUCCCCUGCUUAGCUUCUGAGAUUGAUGAGCUGGCUGAUCUGUCUAACUCCCUCUUUAGACCAUGAGGCUAUGUUAGUUGUUUAAAAAAAUAGUGGAAAUUUCAUCCCACUUUGAUAUGUCUCAAAGUGUGUUCUGGCUAUUAAAGGCUGAGGCUUCUUUCCAGUUUUUGUAUAGAGGCUUAUUACUGUGGGACAACUGGGUCUUCCUGGAAGCUCACCUUUGGGAGAGGCACAAAACUAAUUAUGAAAUCAGGUACAUCUUAAAAAAAAUAGUUGUUUUGCAUUAUAAAUGCAAGGCUGCAAUUCUCCUGUCCUGCUAACGAUGGCAAAAACUGUUCUUAAAAACUGUCCAAGGAGAUUCAGCUGCGUUAUGAUAGCAUAGUAGUGGGCUGGAUUUCUUACUUCACACAUUUCAGAAUUGUUUCUAUCUCCAUUUUUAUGGAAAAAUGAGAGGCACGCAACUAGAAAGACAUCCUAAUUUGAAGUGAAAGGUAUGUGACAAGGGUGACACCUGUUUUCCCCCUUGAUCUCUUUUGAAAAAUGCAUAUAACUGUCUGGACCAAAAGUUGUGCAUGGUUUUUGUUAGUUGAUGUAUCACUGUGUGAAUUCAGCAUCUAACUGGAAAGUCACUUUUGGAAGUGGAACACAACUGGUGGUGAAACCAGAUGUUACUCCAUCUCCUUCAGUCUACAGGCUGGUCUCUAAAGAUGAUGAGGACUUGGAAAUGUGCCUUAUCACAGAUUAUUCCCCUGAAAAGCUUACUCUUAACCGGGCUGUUAAUGAGACAGAUGCAGUUGUGGAGGUGACAACAUCCGAGAACGAACAAGAAGCAAGCUACCUGUCAACCUACUGGGCCAAGAAAGAUGAAAUGCAGUGUUCUGCAAAUCAUGAGGGCUUUGGAGAACUGGAGGGCGAGGAUCCUGAAAGCGGUGUCAGUGCUGUCUGUGUUACAGGGAUAUCUCUACACUUCAGGACAGAUGAAAACCUGAACAUGCUGUCUUUAUCACAGCUGGGCCUGAAAAUAAUUUUAAUGAAAGGAGUAAUUUUUAAUGUGCUGAUGACGAUGCUUAUGUGGAAAAAAAAGAAUGAAAGUAACCAGAUGGUGCAGUCCUGAAGUACCAAAAAAAUCUGCUGAGGAAUGUUUACCAGAGCAUCAUGUGCAAGAGGGAUUCGUGCUGCAGGGAACGUCACCUGCUGUUCCUGCAUAUCGCACCAACCAUUAUAGUCUACAUUGCUUUAUUUGCAUGGUUAUUAAUAGGCUUAAAAUUCUCAGCAUAUUGCUCCCCCACAUACCUGAUCAAUUUAGCAUGACAAUGCCGUUCUUGCAUGAAGCACAGUUUGCUAGAACUAUAAAUUGCCGAAGGUCACAAUUACUUGUGUUAAACUGACACACAAUUUCUGCUUGGGGCACUGUUGUUGAAAACUGCAAGCUAAAUAUCACUUGAACGUGAACUUUUCGUAUUUUGAUAGCUUUCAGGUCUGCACAUCUUGGAGUGCACCCCACAGACACCAUUUCAGUUGCAAAUGGAACGUGCUGAAAAGAGUCUUAUUCAAGGUGCUAUGCACCAUGUCCUGCUACCUUAAGUUACUACUUUUGCUCUUUCUUUUUAGUUCUUACAACCUUAGAAUUCCCAAUUUCUUUUUUAAUCAUGCCAUAAAAAUAUACUGGAAUAUUUACCUGUCCACGUGUUCUUGGAAACAAUGGAUGCAUGUGAAACUCACAGGCUGCUAAUUCUUGAAUUGUACUUGCAACCAACCCCUCUGAUGUCUUGGCAUUUCUUUAGGCCUUUGGCUGCUAUUAAACAAUUCUUAUUAAAAAUAAGAAA